rnacentral:misc_RNA from 1 species
UGACCAAUCAAGCUCUGCUUGGCCUUGGGGCCUGCUAUACCGGCGGUCCUUAAAACCAGUGGCGGUGCCGUCUGGCCCUAAGCGUAGUAAUUCUCCUCGCUAUAGAGCUCUAGACGUCUACUCGCCAGAACCCCCAACUUCUCAAGG